CCAAUAUGGAUACACACUACCUCUCGAUGGACCAAUUUAAAGUGUUUAGUGGACGUGGUGGACAGCAUGGAAAGAAUUUCUGUAAACUUCACACGAUCGUGUUACAAUCGCGGCUACAAGUAAUAUAAACGUCCUAUAUUGAACUUUCAAGAGGAUCUGCUCUUCAUGAGCGAUGACUCCAGCUGUGCAGUGGUUAUGGUCACGACGAAUAUUUGUGGCAAACGUCACAAGUAUGACCUGAGAAUUAGAAAUACGUUCAUCACAAAGACCCCGCACAAGAAUUGUGUGAAAGCAUUCGAGAAGUACGAGAAACACGCAAAAGUUAUCUACGACCCAAGCUGCCAGCAUAUACUUGCGAAACUUGGAGAGUCACAGCCGUACGAGCCACAAAAAGAACGUUGCAUAAAUGAAGUUCAUUGACGCUCACGU
rnacentral:lncRNA from 1 species